rnacentral:piRNA from 1 species
UGACAUUUCAUAUUUCUGGACCCGAUGCCU